UCUUUAUCUGGUAAUGCCUACUCAUCCCUCAGAGCUCAUCCCAAGUAUGCUCUCUCUGAGGAAGACUUCCCUGAUACUCCUGGACAAGGAUUUCUCACUGUGAGAGAAGUGAGCCACCAGAUAGAGAGGACACUCAAACAGCCCCAUGCAGAGGCCAAUAUAGAAAGGAUAAAAUAGCCAGCAUCAACUUGCCAGCUUUGUAAGAGAGCCUUUAUAACUGAAUCCACUGCCCUGGUCAAGCCUUCAGAUGACUGCAGCUCUAGCCUACAUCUGGCUGCAAUCUCAGGUGUUCAGAUCAAGGGAAUCUACUCUAAGAGGCUACACUUGAGGAACAACAACCAAGGAGCUUCAACUGCAUCUGGAUUUCAGGAUCCAAGAACCCUCUAUUGGGGUCUGGAUUGGGACCCCUUUCCAGUAACAUCUUUCGGGAAAACCACAAAGAGGCUAUACUGAGGAGACCCCUAACCCAGAAGAAAUAGACUGCUGCGCUGAUUGGCCAACUUUGGAGUCUGGAAAACUUUUCUUUUGAGCUAUUGACAGCCUUUAACAACUGAGUAAAGUGUACUCCUGUGAACAAAAUUCAGAUCCUGUUUGUUUCUCUCUACCUGAUUUCUCCAGAAUUUGGAAACUAUUUACUGACUCUUCUUGUUUCUGUUAACCAACCAGUGAUCUCUGGCUGCUGCUCAGAAGAACCAAGAAGGGUACCAUCUUUUGUUGGAACUCAGUUACAAAUAACCCUCACCAUACCACCACUUUCUGAAUGAGCUCCUCUCUACCCUGAAGGCAAAAGACCCAAUAGUUAGGCUGGAAUAUUAUCACACCUAUUCAGCCUGAAGAAGUUACAGAAAAUGGAUCUUCAUCUGUCUACAACCCUUAGGAUUAAGUGUUGUCUUAUAAUAGGGAGGGGGGAAUUGUCAGAGGCAUUUGAAUCAAAGCAACUCCAUUUCACACAGGGGCUAAGUGAAAUAAGGCUAAGACCUGCUAGGCUGCAUUCCCAGGAGAUUAAGACAUUCUAAGUCACAGGAUGAGACAGGAGAUCGGCAUAAGAUGCAGCUCAGAAAGAUCUUGUGGAUAAAACAGGUUGCAGUAAAGAAGCCAGCCAAAACAUCAAAACCAAGAUGGUGACAAAAGUGACUUCUGGUCAUCUGCACUGCUACACUCCCGCCAGCACCACGGCAGUUUACAAAUGCCAUGGCAAUGUCAGGAGGUUGCCCUACAUGUUCUAAAAUGGGGAGGAACCCUCAGUUCCAGGAAUUGCCCACCCCUUUCCUGGAAAACUCAUGAAUAAUCCACCCUUUGUUUAGCAUAUAAACAAGAAAUAACCAUAAAAAUGGGCAACUAGGUGUGCACCACUGCUCUUCCUAUGGAGUAGCCAUUCUUUCAUUCCUUUACUUUCAUAAUAAACUUGCUUUCAGUUAAAAAAAAACCUGACCCUUACCUUAUGCCAUGUAUAAAAAUUAACUCACAAUGAAUCAGGAGGUAUUCCUUUUGCCUGACUGCCUUUGAACUGGGACAUCAUUUUUUUCCCUGUCUUCAGACUUGAACUGAAACAUCAGCUUUUCUUGAGUCUCAACCUGCUGUUCUUUGGACUAGAACUGCACCAUUGGCUCUCUUGGGUUUCCAGCUUAACAACUGUAGAUCUUGGAACUUGGCAGCUUUCAUAAAUACAUGAGUUAAUUUCUUAAAAUAAAUAUAUUCAUAUGUAUGUAUAUAAAAUACAUAUCUAUCUAUCUAUCUAUCUAUCUAUCUAUCUAUCUAUCUAUCUAUCUAUCUAUCUUCUAUUGAUUAUUUUUCUCUGGAGAACCCUGACUAGUACAGCUACAUAUAGUGUGGUAUUGGUGUAAAGAUCAAUAAAGCAGAAUGCAGAAUUCAAAACAAAACAUAUAUAGAAUUAACUGCCAACAAACAUGACAGAAUAGUCUACAUAGAAAAGGGUAGUUUUUUCCCCCAAAUGUUGCUGAUAACAAUUGUAUUUUCACAUAAAAAUUGACAGUUGACACAACUCGUGCUGUACAAAAAAAAGUUAACUUGUAAACAAAAAAUUAACUUGUAGUGGAUUAUAGACCUAAAUAUAAAAGCUAAAACCAUAAAACUUCUAGAAGAUAAUAUUGGAUAAAAUAUUCACAAACUUGGAGUAGGCAAAGAUUUCUUAAAACACAAAAGACACUAACCAUUAAAAAAUCCCAAACCUCAGCAUCACACCGUAUACCCAAGUAAAAAAGCUGCACAUGUACCCACUUAAUCUAAAAUAAAAGUUGAAAAAAAUAAUAAUUUAAAAAAUUUAAAAAAUAAAAGUAAAAUAAAAUAGACAUUUGAGUCUUGAAGGACGGCAUUAAGAAACUGUAAAGGCAAACUAUAUUAAUAAAGAAAGUAUUAAUAAUGCAUAUGGAACAGGAGAGUUUCCUGACCUCUUCUUGGGACUUGUGACAAGAGUGUGGCUUGCUUGCUCUGCCACCACACACUCAAACACCUUACAGGAAGGGGAGCAUACAGAUGGGCAGGUGCAGGAGCUGGGGUGAGCGCUUUUGGGCUCCUGCCCCAUGGUAGCAUCUAGGAGUAUGUUAUGAUUAAUGCUCUUUUAGCAGUUACCAUCUGUGUAUGGCUAAAUGUUAAACCAGCUCAGUGGACUGUCAGGGUGACAGUCUUUUACACAUUGCCCUCUUGGUACCCGGAUCCUUUUCUGGCAUCCAGGAAGAAUCAGGUCACAUGGACUUGAUGAGUGGUAAGUGUGGGGAUUUUAUUGAGUGGUGGAAGUGGCCCUCAGUGAGAUAGAUGGGGAACUGGAAAGGGGUGGGAGUGGGAAGAUGAUCUUACCCUGGAGUUCAGCUGUCCUGCAGCUGACUCCUCUCUGAUCGUCCCCAGCCAAACUCCUCUUGAUAUUCAGAUGCUCCUUUCCUUCUCUCCCUCUCUGCCAUGUUGCUCUGCUGCUCUUCUGCUCUUCUGCUGGUCUCAUAGAUCCUGGGGUUCGGGGUUUAUAUGGGUACAUGAGAGCAGGCAUGGAGGGUCAAAAGACAAGGGUUGGGUACAAAAACUGGAAUGUCUGUUCCCAUUUAGGGCUGUGUG